UACGUAGGUGGCAAGCAUUAUCCGGAUUUACUGGGUGUAAAGGGCGUGUAGGCGGGACUGCAAGUCAGAUGUGAAAAUUAUGGGCUCAACCCAUAACCUGCAUUUGAAACUGUAGUUCUUGAGUGAUGGAGAGGCAGGCGGAAUUCCGUGUGUAGCGGUGAAAUGCGUAGAUAUACGGAGGAACACCAGUGGCGAAGGCGGCCUGCUGGACAUUAACUGACGCUGAGGCGCGAAAGCGUGGGGAGCAAACAGG
rnacentral:rRNA from 1 species